CACGUAGGGGGCAAGCGUUGUCCGGAUUUAUUGGGCGUAAAGAGCUCGUAGGUGGUCUGUCGCGUCUGCUGUGAAAAUCCGGGGCUCAACCCCGGACUUGCAGUGGGUACGGGCAGACUAGAGUGUGGUAGGGGAGACUGGAAUUCCUGGUGUAGCGGUGAAAUGCGCAGAUAUCAGGAGGAACACCGAUGGCGAAGGCAGGUCUCUGGGCCGAUACUGACGCUGAGGAGCGAAAGCGUGGGGAGCGAACAGG
rnacentral:rRNA from 1 species